rnacentral:rRNA from 2 species
GACGAACGCUGGCGGCGUGCCUAAUACAUGCAAGUCGAACGAACUCUGGUAUUGAUUGGUGCUUGCAUCAUGAUUUACAUUUGAGUGAGUGGCGAACUGGUGAGUAACACGUGGGAAACCUGCCCAGAAGCGGGGGAUAACACCUGGAAACAGAUGCUAAUACCGCAUAACAACUUGGACCGCAUGGUCUGAGUUUGAAAGAUGGCUUCGGCUAUCACUUUUGGAUGGUCCCGCGGCGUAUUAGCUAGAUGGUGGGGUAACGGCUCACCAUGGCAAUGAUACGUAGCCGACCUGAGAGGGUAAUCGGCCACAUUGGGACUGAGACACGGCCCAAACUCCUACGGGAGGCAGCAGUAGGGAAUCUUCCACAAUGGACGAAAGUCUGAUGGAGCAACGCCGCGUGAGUGAAGAAGGGUUUCGGCUCGUAAAACUCUGUUGUUAAAGAAGAACAUAUCUGAGAGUAACUGUUCAGGUAUUGACGGUAUUUAACCAGAAAGCCACGGCUAACUACGUGCCAGCAGCCGCGGUAAUACGUAGGUGGCAAGCGUUGUCCGGAUUUAUUGGGCGUAAAGCGAGCGCAGGCGGUUUUUUAAGUCUGAUGUGAAAGCCUUCGGCUCAACCGAAGAAGUGCAUCGGAAACUGGGAAACUUGAGUGCAGAAGAGGACAGUGGAACUCCAUGUGUAGCGGUGAAAUGCGUAGAUAUAUGGAAGAACACCAGUGGCGAAGGCGGCUGUCUGGUCUGUAACUGACGCUGAGGCUCGAAAGUAUGGGUAGCAAACAGGAUUAGAUACCCUGGUAGUCCAUACCGUAAACGAUGAAUGCUAAGUGUUGGAGGGUUUCCGCCCUUCAGUGCUGCAGCUAACGCAUUAAGCAUUCCGCCUGGGGAGUACGGCCGCAAGGCUGAAACUCAAAGGAAUUGACGGGGGCCCGCACAAGCGGUGGAGCAUGUGGUUUAAUUCGAAGCUACGCGAAGAACCUUACCAGGUCUUGACAUACUAUGCAAAUCUAAGAGAUUAGACGUUCCCUUCGGGGACAUGGAUACAGGUGGUGCAUGGUUGUCGUCAGCUCGUGUCGUGAGAUGUUGGGUUAAGUCCCGCAACGAGCGCAACCCUUAUUAUCAGUUGCCAGCAUUAAGUUGGGCACUCUGGUGAGACUGCCGGUGACAAACCGGAGGAAGGUGGGGAUGACGUCAAAUCAUCAUGCCCCUUAUGACCUGGGCUACACACGUGCUACAAUGGAUGGUACAACGAGUUGCGAACUCGCGAGAGUAAGCUAAUCUCUUAAAGCCAUUCUCAGUUCGGAUUGUAGGCUGCAACUCGCCUACAUGAAGUCGGAAUCGCUAGUAAUCGCGGAUCAGCAUGCCGCGGUGAAUACGUUCCCGGGCCUUGUACACACCGCCCGUCACACCAUGAGAGUUUGUAACACCCAAAGUCGGUGGGGUAACCUUUUAGGAACCAGCCGCCUAAGGUGGGACAGAUGAUUAGGGUG